rnacentral:tRNA from 1 species
GUCGCCGUGGGCUAAUUGGUAAGCCACAAUGUGAUGCGGGUUCGAAACCCGCCGGCGAUA